GUGGGGGCGGUGGUCGGCGGGUCGCGGGCGGCCUGCUGGGUCAGGCGAAGCACCGCCUCCG
rnacentral:miRNA from 10 species